GUAGGCUGCUUCAUCCACCCCGGGUCUGCGCCGACCUUGAGCCGCUCCAGUCUGUUUAAACGGCGGAGUCAAUGUAAAGGAAAGUUGCCUGACGUCACGCAGUGUGGGAGAAAGAUGGCCACGUUAACGAACGGCGUGCAGCAGGCAGCAGACAGCCUCAACAACAACAUCCAGAUCAGCACAGCCAACGGGCCUAUGAACGGACUCAGCCACGGCCAGAACAGCACCAUCCCCAUGAAGGACCACGACGCCAUCAAACUUUUCAUCGGCCAGAUCCCCCGCAACCUGGAGGAGAAGGACCUCAAGCCCCUCUUUGAGGAAUUUGGCAAGAUCUACGAGCUCACGGUGCUGAAGGACCGCUUCACCGGCAUGCACAAGGGUUGUGCCUUCCUAACGUACUGUGCCAGGGAAUCUGCUCUGAAGGCCCAGAGUGCGUUGCAUGAACAGAAGACAUUACCUGGGAUGAACAGGCCGAUCCAGGUGAAGCCAGCGGACAGUGAGAGCAGAGGAGAAGACAGAAAAUUAUUUGUGGGCAUGCUGAACAAACAACAGUCAGAGGAGGACGUACGCAGACUAUUUGAAGCUUUCGGUAACAUUGAAGAAUGCACGAUCCUUCGAGGGCCUGAUGGAAAUAGCAAAGGAUGCGCAUUUGUGAAAUUUUCCACACACGCAGAAGCCCAGGCAGCCAUCAACGCUUUACACGGAAGCCAGACGAUGCCAGGUGCGUCUUCAAGUUUGGUGGUAAAAUUUGCAGACACUGACAAGGAACGUACGAUGCGUCGCAUGCAGCAAAUGGCAGGGCAGAUGGGGAUGUUCAACCCAAUGGCAAUCCAGUUUGGUGCAUAUGGUGCCUACGCUCAAGCAUUGAUGCAACAGCAAGCAACAAUAAUGGCGUCCGUGGCCCAGGGAGGUUACCUGAACCCAAUGGCAGCAUUCGCAGCAGCUCAGAUGCAGCAGAUGGCAGCCUUGAAUAUGAAUGGACUGGCAGCUACGCCCAUGACACCAACAUCAGGUGGGAGUACACCUCCUGGCAUCACCGCACCAGCCGUGCCUAGCAUCCCUUCCCCGAUCGGCGUAAACGGAUUCACCGGCCUCCCCCCGCAGGCUAACGGACAACCGACAGCAGAAGCCGUCUUUGCUAAUGGAAUCCACCCCUACCCAGGGUCAGCUCAUGAGUGGUCUCCAGAGGCCAGGCAGGACGUUUCAUCCGGCCCGCGAUGUGCUCUAUUGUUAUUCACUAGAGCCGGCUCACCAGUCCUCCCAAUCGCUCAGGCGGGAGAUGAAAACUCCAACCAGAUGUGGCACACAGUAAGCUCCGUCUGCACGCACGCACAAAGCCCAACUGCAGCCGAUCCCUUGCAGCAAGCUUACGCUGGAGUACAGCAGUACGCAGGUCCUGCCUAUCCUGCCGCCUAUGGCCAGAUUAGUCAAGCCUUUCCACAGCCACCUCCAAUGAUACCCCAGCAACAGAGAGAGGGUCCAGAGGGUUGCAACCUUUUUAUCUAUCACCUUCCUCAGGAGUUUGGAGAUGCUGAGCUCAUGCAAAUGUUCCUGCCUUUUGGUAAUGUCAUCUCCUCAAAAGUGUUUGUGGACCGAGCGACAAACCAAAGUAAAUGCUUUGGUUUUGUGAGUUUUGACAAUCCUGCCAGUGCCCAGGCUGCCAUCCAGGCAAUGAAUGGUUUUCAAAUUGGCAUGAAGAGGCUGAAAGUACAACUCAAGAGGCCGAAAGAUGCCAACCGCCCUUACUGAACCGCUACAACUCAACUGAGACUUGAGAGCUAUUACAGCAGAGACAGUCAUAACCCCGCAGUCUCAGGCUGUAGGAAAAGUAUCCAUAACAAUGAAAUGGAGAAAACGGUCCAGUGCGGCGGAAACUGGAGAGGACCGCAUGUACAAAAAAAUAAUAAAAGUACUGUUAAAUAAACCUUUGGACAUAUCAGCAUACGCCAAUCAAGCUGAGGACUUCUUCAGACUUUUAUCUUUGACUGCUCUGAUUGUUUAGACUGUUAAGUCUCUUCAAAAUGUAUCACUUCUGCUGAAGGAUGAGUUUUGAACGCCUGAAAGGAGAAAAUAUAUUUAAAAAAAGAUACUAGGAGCUUGUAGAGCAACAAGUUGAUAAGGAGUGCCUGUUGUCAUCAUGGAUACUGUUGUCAUGGUCACACAUGGCAACAAUCACUAUAAGUAUCUGUCAUUCCUUAGGUAUUUUAGGGACCAAAGGACCAAACUUUUUAUUGCAGACUUGUAGUCGUAUGUAAAUUAUGGAUUUCUUUCCUUCUCUCACUGUUCCUAAAACAGUCUGAAGAGUUUAUCUUGAAUUGUAAAAAAGUAAUCUAAUAAUAACAAUAAUAAUACAUACAUAACUGCUUUUAAUUAAGCAAGAUUGUAGUUCUUUGAUACUUUGGGAAGCACUUUGGUAUCAUUAAUUCAAGUAAGUAGUUUUCAUAUGGUUUUCUGUAACUUUCGUGAGGACUGAACAUUUGAGAUUGGCUUAACUGUGAUCUGUGGGAAGCAAAAAAAAAAUACUGAGUGAGGACUAUUUUGGAAAUAGAAUUAUUGCUUGAAAAUGGUUCAUUGUGUUCUUAAUCUUCCCUUAAAAAAGAAACUCAAUAGGUGUACAGAGUAAAAAAAACUUUUAAAUUACCAAUAUAAAAAUAUAAAAAAAAAUUAGACAUAAAAUGCAAAAAAAUAGAGGUUAGCGUUACUGCUAAAAAAAGAAAUCCAGUAGAACUGUAAUUUUGUAGAAUUUAGAUGAGCAUAAGUUCAUAUACUGCCAAUAGCUGUCCGAUGCUGUUAAAUACUGACAGUAGAUAAGCCACACUGGCAGCUCCGUGACUGCAAUCAUUCCAGCUACAAUAAAAAAAAACAAAAACGUACUAAAAAAAAGACACAAAAACUGAAACUAUUGUAAACAUCGCAGCAAACCAUGGAUUUGAGUAUCCACCCAGCGUUAGUGAGGAUCCAGAGUAGACACCCAUUCGUCUGGAAAACCUGCUUAACAUCACCAAGACCUGCUCUAAGCAAAACUCCUACCUAUCUCCAUCCAUAAUGAUAGUACUCUCUCACAUUCAAAAAAGUAAGCAAGCAAACUUCAGGGCCAGUACAAAGUCCUGACUCCCAACAACCUAAUACUGAAUCUGUAACAAAAUGGAAAAAAAAAACGAGAGAAUCUCUGCUGUUUACAGGAGGUCAAAAAAAAACAGAGAAUGUUUAAAAGGUUCUGGCUCUGUUUUAUGUAAAUAAAUUUGCAUAUUUUGUAGGACUUUUACUGUACUGAUUGAGAAAAAAGGAAACUAUUUAAUGAAAGCACGGUAUUUAUCUCUGGUAACUGAUGUAACGGAGCAGUUGACAAAAAGCACUGUGUUGAAUGCUGUAAAAUCUGGAGACUAUUUAUUUAUGAAUUAUUUAUUCUGAUAUUUAUUGUUUUAGGAAGAAGCUACGUUCUAAAUUUAUUUACAAAUGCCAUCAUCAUGGUUGGCAGCUGCAUUAUUCCAUUAUGAUCAUUUUUAUUUAUUGCUUGUAGAAGAUUUUUUUAAAGAGCACAUUCAUUUUGAUAACUUUUCCUAUUUCUGUUCACCUGCUUUUUCUAUAAUUUAAAAAAAAACGGGCUGUAUACCUAAUCUAAUGUGGCAUACAGUCACAACAAGACUGCUCUCUUCACUCUCAGUUACCUAGAAACAAUUGUAAUCUUCAUGUAAGUACUGGAUGACGCUUUUCAGCUUAGCCCUAAA